AGCGAACGCUGGCGGCAGGCCUAACACAUGCAAGUCGAACGAACUCUUCGGAGUUAGUGGCGGACGGGUGGGUAACACGUGGGAACGUGCCUUUUGGUUCGGAAUAACUCAGGGAAACUUGUGCUAAUACCGAAUGCGCCCUUCGGGGGAAGGAUUUAUCGCCAUUAGAGCGGCCCGCGUCUGAUUAGCUAGUUGGUGAGGUAACGGCUCACCAAGGCGACGAUCAGUAGCUGGUCUGAGAGGAUGACCAGCCACACUGGGACUGAGACACGGCCCAGACUCCUACGGGAGGCAGCAGUGGGGAAUCUUGCGCAAUGGGCGAAAGCCUGACGCAGCCAUGCCGCGUGAAUGAUGAAGGUCUUAGGAUUGUAAAAUUCUUUCACCGGGGACGAUAAUGACGGUACCCGGAGAAGAAGCCCCGGCUAACUUCGUG
rnacentral:rRNA from 1 species